AUUGAACGCUGGCGGCAGGCCUAACACAUGCAAGUCGAGCGGAUGAAGGGAGCUUGCUCCUGGAUUCAGCGGCGGACGGGUGAGUAAUGCUUAGGAAUCUGCCUGGUAGUGGGGGAUAACGUCCGGAAACGGGCGCUAAUACCGCAUACGUCCUGAGGGAGCAAGUGGGGGAUCUUCGGACCUCACGCUAUCAGAUGAGCCUAGGUCGGAUUAGCUAGUUGGUGGGGUAAAGGCCUACCAAGGCGACGAUCCGUAACUGGUCUGAGAGGUUGAUCAGUCACACUGGAACUGAGACACGGCCCAGACUCCUACGGGAGGCAGCAGUGGGGAAUAUUGGACAAUGGGCGAAAGCCUGAUCCAGCCACGCCGCGUGUGUGAAGAAGGUCUUCGGAUUGUAAAGCACUUUAAGUUGGGAAGAAGGGCAGUAAGUUAAUCCCUUGCUGUUUUGACGGUACCAACAGAAUAAGCACCGGCUAACUUCGUG
rnacentral:rRNA from 1 species